GACCUCGUAGCUCAGUUGGCUAGAGCGUUGCCAGCCUUUCCCUUGCUGGCAUGGGUUCAAAUCCCACCGAGGCUG
rnacentral:tRNA from 1 species